CUGGGGCAUAAACGCAGCAGUGAUAGGAUUGGAGAGGUUCGGUGAGCAAAUGAAGACCCUUUGAAGUCAUAUUGCAUGGUACCCAUUCCACGGGUUUCAACUCUCCAGGUUUAAGGGAUUCUUCCUUCAGCUAAAACAUGCAUGUGGAACCCAGAUAUGAUCAACCAUGUGAACGGGAGACGUGUUCCAAUAUGUCU